AGGGCAGGCAAUUGUUUGCUAACGAACCAGGUCAGGUCAGAAAUGAAGCAGCCUUAAGUUUUCUAAAUGAUGUGCUUGCGUACAU
rnacentral:SRP_RNA from 1 species